AGCGAACGCUGGCGGCAGGCUUAACACAUGCAAGUCGAACGGGCACUUCGGUGCUAGUGGCAGACGGGUGAGUAACGCGUGGGAACGUGCCUUUCGGUUCGGAAUAAUCCAGGGAAACUUGGACUAAUACCGGAUACGCCCUUCGGGGGAAAGAUUUAUCGCCGAAAAAUCGGCCCGCGUCUGAUUAGCUAGUUGGUGAGGUAAAGGCUCACCAAGGCGACGAUCAGUAGCUGGUCUGAGAGGAUGAUCAGCCACACUGGGACUGAGACACGGCCCAGACUCCUACGGGAGGCAGCAGUGGGGAAUAUUGGACAAUGGGCGAAAGCCUGAUCCAGCCAUGCCGCGUGAGUGAUGAAGGCCUUAGGGUUGUAAAGCUCUUUUGUCCGGGAAGAUAAUGACUGUACCGGAAGAAUAAGCCCCGGCUAACUUCGUGCCAGCCGCCGCGGUAACAC
rnacentral:rRNA from 1 species